rnacentral:lncRNA from 1 species
CCAGAAGGAGAAGAGUCCAUGUCUUGAAAUAGACCAAGGAAAUGGGAACACUCCUCGUCUUGUAGGUAUGGAAAUGGGAAAGCAGAGAUUUCCAUUAAAGGGAGAAAAAAAAAGAUUAUUUAUUUCAGAGAGCUUUGACGAAUUUUGGUUUGAAAAGUGUUUGACUUAUUAGAUUAGAUGUGAAAUCAAAAGCUUUCACAAGUGUUUGAAGUUUGAAGACAAAGAUUUAUGAGUUUUAUGGUUUUGGUUUGGUUUCAGACAAUAUAUAAAAAAGGUUUCUUUGUCUGUGUUUGUGAAAAUACAGAGAGACGCAGAGGACGAAGGAAGCGCGUGAAGGUGUGAACGCGGUAAGCGGAUGGGUUUGACGGUGACUUGACUUUCUUUUUUGCAGAUUAUUUUAUUAUUAUUUUUGAUUAGAUAAAGCGUUUACUCGUUACUGUUUCAUUGAGAUUGCACCGCGUAAAUCUUGUUUGAUAAAAGACAAAAAGAAAAACAUGUUUUAUUAAGCCUUUAUAUAUAUUAGAUUCGAUAU